rnacentral:rRNA from 1 species
CCCUUAGAUGUUCUGGGCCGCACGCGUGCUACACUGAGUGGAUCAGCGGGUCAGGUUGCGGGAAAGUGUUUCCUAAUCUUGAAAUCCGCUCGUGAUGGGGAUUGACGGUUGCAAUUUUCCGUCAUGAACGAGGAAUACCUUGUAAGCGCGGGUCAUCAUCCCGCGCUGAAUACGUCCCUGCCCUUUGUACACACCGCCCGUCGCUCCUACCGAUUGAGUGGUCCGGUGAGGCUUUGGGAUCUGAGCGGAAAGAGCGUUUCGCUGUUUCUGCUCGGAAAACUCAGUCGAACCUUAUCAUUUAGAGGAAGGAGAAGUCGUAACA